rnacentral:tRNA from 1 species
UUAAUUGAAGCCAAAAUAGAGGCCUUUCAUUGUUAAUGAAAAAAAUGACCCCAAGUCCAAUUAAA